UGGGGGUAUAGUUAAUUAAUAACAUCUAAUUUGCAAUUAGAAAUUACCUUAUAGUUUCCCUCAA
rnacentral:tRNA from 1 species